UACGUAGGGACCGAGCGUUGUCCGGAAUCAUUGGGCGUAAAGAGCGUGUAGGCGGCUUGUUAAGUCUUGCGUGAAAUCUCGGGGCUCAACCCCGAGCGGUCGUGAGAAACUGGCAGGCUAGAGUGCGGGAGAGGAGAGUGGAAUUCCUGGUGUAGCGGUGAAAUGCGCAGAUAUCAGGAAGAACACCCGUGGCGAAGGCGGCUCUCUGGGCCGAUACUGACGCUGAGGAGCGAAAGCGUGGGGAGCGAACAGG
rnacentral:rRNA from 1 species